rnacentral:rRNA from 1 species
CACCGCGGUUAGACGAGAGGCCCCAGUUAAUGGUAUUCCGGCGUAAAGGGUGGUUAAGGAGAACAAAUAAUAAAGCCAAAUGGCCCCUUGGCCGUCAUACGCUUCUGGGUGCCCGAAGCCCAAUUAUACGAAAGUAGCUUUAGUAAACCCACCUGACCCCACGAAAACUGAGAAACAAACUGGGAUUAGAUACCCCACUAUGCUCAGCUGUAAACCCAGAUGCCCCGAUACAAUUAGGCAUCCGCCAGGGUACUACGAGCAUCAGCUUGAAACCCAAAGGACCUGACGGUGCCUUAGACCCCCCUAGAGGAGCCUGUUCUAGAACCGAUAACCCCCGUUAAACCUCACCACUUCUAGCCACCCCAGCCUAUAUACCGCCGUCGCCAGCUUACCCUGUGAAGGCAAUAAAAGUAAGCAAAAUGGGCAGAACCCAGAACGUCAGGUCGAGGUGUAGCGUACGAAGCGGGAAGAAAUGGGCUACAUUUUCUAUAAUAGAAUACUACGGAUAUGCAACAUGAAAUAGUGCUUGAAGGAGGAUUUAGUAGUAAAAAGGAAACAGAGUGUCCUUUUGAACCCGGCUCUAAGGCGCGUACACACCGCCCGUCACUCUCCCCUGUCUAAACGCAAUUAAGAUAUUUAACACCAAAGCACUGACAAGGGGAGGCAAGUCGUAACAUGGUAAGUGUACCGGAAGGUGCACUUGGAUAAAACUCAGGGCGUGGCUGAG